rnacentral:lncRNA from 1 species
AUGACUCUAUUACAAAGAAUUUAACUAACUUGUGGUACUCUUACCACAAGUCACUUUGUGACUCCAUAGUUACAAAGACUAACUAACUUGUGAUGCUCUCACCACAAGCCACUUUGUCACUCUCUAGUGACAAAUACUUUAAUCACUCUAACUUGUAAUAACACUUAUUACAAGCCACUUUUAACUCUCUAGUUACAAAGACUUUACAACUCGACUAACUCUAGCCAAGACACAAACUUAGAGGGUUUGUGAUUUUGGGUUUCCUAAAAACAGCUUCUAAGAAAGCAAGAUAGGGGUUACAAUGAAGAACAAAUAACAAAGACUCAACAAACCUAGGGUAUUAAGAUAUCUUCGAUCUUGUAUCAGGUCCUUGAGGUUGAAGCAGCUUUUGUUCUUGAGAGAGGUUGUUGCAAGCAACUUGAGAGAAGAUUUUUGUUUUUUUGUAUUUGAAAGUGUUGAACCUGAAUCUUGUGCCUUGCAUAAGGUUUAUACUACAAAAGACAUCACCUUAGUGAUGUCAAAUCUUGGUUAGUACAUGCCUCCUCUCAAUGGGAAGUGACCGAUGCACUGUCUGUUGCACUGUUGCAGGUAGUCACUUUUUGCAGUUGCUUUCCAGCUGUACUGUUGACUUGUACUUCUGUCAUGGGAACAUAAAGGUAUCAGGUCCCUAAUCUGGUUCCUGUGAAUAUGAAGGCAUACUGCCCAAAUUAUCUUGAGUCGAUUAACUUGAAUGAUUGUACCAUGCAUGCUUCAGGUCCUUUAUCUGGUUCUCUCAUGAAGUAAGUUGUUUUACCUUCCUUGAUAAUAUUUAUACCUGUGUUACAUCACUUACAAUUAUGUAAUCAAGGUAGGUAAAACGCCUUCCAUAGAAAGUUGACUGUUGCACUGUUCCUGUGCAGUAGCGUGUGUAGGCAGUAACUUUCCUGCUGGUAUGGACCUAUUUUCUCAGUUGUUCCUUCCUCUCUGAAGAGUUGAGUUAUAUCCCACGCUAGAUCCCAACCUGGAACUUUGUGAUCUCAAGGUCUUGUAGAUAUGUAACAGGUUCCGUAUCUGGUUCUGGAUGGUAAGUUUGUUAGAUCAUCAAAACAUAAAGUAAAGUACUUAUGCCCAAGGUACUUGUAACCUAUCAAUUUCUCUCUUUUUGAUGAUGACAAACUGAGAAUUGAUAUUCCUCCUGAGAACCAGAUCUCCAUAUUGUUCCCCCUACAAAUCAACCAUAUUCCCUAUAAGAACCAAACCUAAGGAGCUGAUCACAACUGGUUCCUCAAGACUGUUUGGAAAAUCAUCAUAACUCAAAGUACCAUAACUUAUCAAUUUCCCCCUUUUUGACGAUGACAAACCCAAAAUUGAUAUUCCUCUUGAGAACUAGAUUCCUCAUGUAUUUCCUACGGAUCAGACCUAUAAUCAACAAAUUAUCAGCACUGUUUACCCUGUGAAGCAAACCUAUCUCUUGAGAACCAGAGAACCAGAUUCCUCAUAUGUUUCCUUGUAUUAUCAACAUCGGUCCCCCCUGCGAAGAAGAUCCAUCUUUCAUGCACGACAUUCGAUUAUGUUCCUCCCAUGUUGACACCUAUAUAACUUCCCCCUUUUGGCAUCAUCGAAAAGAAUAACAGAAGAAGUACUACCAAAAAGAAGUUCAGCAACAUUAACUCAGGCCACUUAGGCAACAUAACAUAAACAAUAACAAGAACAACAAGUGAAUGCCAGUGCACAACAUAGAGUGAUUGCCUAUAGUGAAGUAAUGAUAAUAAAAGCACAAUAGCUUCAACAAUACAUGACAAUUUAAACAACUGAAGUACCAAUGUCAUCAAAUAUAGGGAUCAAAAGAGGAUAAUAAUUCAAGGGAAUUUAGAAGGAGUCAAAGACAUGGAUCACUGGGCAAGAGGAAAAUUAAGGGGCUAAGGCCUUGAUGAGCUUGUCCAUUCGUUCAUUUACUCUCCUUUAAUUAAGGAUCAUCUGCUCUCUCUAUUCCUCCACAUAUUUCCUCAAUCUUGCAUUCUCACCCUUCAACUUAGCAUUCUAUUCUGCCGAGGGUCUUCGAGGACCAGGUUCCCAACCUACUGAGUAGGUUCAACCAUCAAUCAGAACACCAAGACCCCCCCAAGCUUCAUAUCAUCAAUAACAAAUGCGGUCCCAUGCAUAUAUAUCAUCAUAGUAUCACAUAAAACAUAGAAGUCUGUUACUUCUUCUUCAGAAACAUUGGGACUUGGAGAAACAGAGAGGUGAUUCUAUUUUUGGAGCUCAAAAAUGUUAAGAAGUUCCUCCAUUUUUUAGCAAUAUCAGAGUCAACACUCUUCCUUACAACACUUUUUGAUACUUCAAAGUCUUCUCCCUUCAAACCUAAUGGCUCAACCUUUUAGUUCUGUAAGGAACCAGGUUCCUUACUGACACUACCUUUUCUAUCCCUAAGCCAUGUCUCCCUUUUCUACUUCUCAAUCUGUUUACCUUAUAUCACUUGCUGCAUCUUUCUCAGCCAACCCUCCUUUCUUUUUUAAAAAAAUUCUUUCUCACAGGAAAAAAUUUCAUUUCAUUCUCUCUUCCACAAUCACAUCAGCAGCUCACACCACUUCACCAUCAAUCAACCUACUUUUCAUCAAUCCUUUUUACUGAUCGAAAGUUCGUUUAUACACAGAACUCAAGGAGAAAAAGAUCAUCAUUAAAAUUAACUUCAUGAUAUGGACUUGAGGGACCAGGUUCCUCAUUCAGUCCUCAUAUUCACUAAUUUCUCCAUUCUUCAACAUUUCUACGAAUCCAACUGCAACUUCAGCCUCACGCUCUAGAAUAUUAGAUCUACCCUUUUCCCUUUCAGUUACGCUUCCAUCAAAAUCUACCAAAGACUUCUUGGGGUUAUUAUUUUGAUGGAGUUAAGUUUUUGGAAAGUGAGAGAGUUGGGUUCAGCUCUGGUAUAUUUGGAAAGAAGGAUUACUUUGAGACAAGGUUGAUUCUGGUUUUGCAGAAAAGAAUCAGUUUUAUUUGGGUGUAAGAUAGCGAAGUUCCUUUUUGGGGAAACAGGUCGGUUCAGAAAAGGUUUAACAUUUUGGACUUCAAAAGUUAGGAUGAGAGAAAUAAAUUAAUGACAUGACACUUCAGCAGCUUAAAAGGCAUAUAAGUAUUGGAGAGACUACUAACCUGAGUCAUAGGAACCAGGUUCCUUGACGGCUUUUGAAAAUGUUGAGCAAACUCCUAGAAGUGCAAUGCCACUCUUACUUGUUUUUGUCUUGAAACUGCCAUAUGUGUAUACAUGUAACAGUAUAGAUUUGAGUUAGAUGUCACCGAAAAACACCUUUUAGCAUUGUACCUUUCCUUCUUAACAUAGCCAAUCAUCCAGGGACCAGGUUCCUCUAUGCCAUUUUAGAGAUUCUACUGCUUUUCCUUCAUCCUUCUACUUGACUUGACUCAUCAAAUCAGUCUUUCCAUUUGCAAUAUCUAUAGCUUUACUAGGAGCAUUUGUGAAUUCUCCAUCUUCAUCUGCUUGGUUUUGUGACCCUUUUCCAUCAUUGUUGAGAACAAAAUAUUUGCAUCCAAAGGCUCUUGGAUAGGUCAACUUGGCUUUUCUCCCAUUGAGCAGUUCAUAGAGAGACUUCUUGAGGAGGGACCUGAUCAUGCAUUUGUUAAUCAAGUACAAAGCAGUGUUGACUGCUUCAGCCCAUGAACCAGGUCCUCCAUAACCAACUUGUUCAAUAUGUAGAAACUCACAUGCCCAGUCAUAUUCACCAUAAUUCAGCAUCAUCAUUAAUGACACUUAGGUAUGUUAGAUCACCAUCAUGACGGGACUUAAAAUCAGCAGUGUAGACAUUCUUGUAUCUUUUGGCCACAAGCACCACCUCACUAGUCACAAGAUUUGUGACUGUACAUAUCUUGGACAAGAAUUCCACUUUAUUUCCCUUGUCACAUAUAUGAGAAACAAUCAAGAGACUUUACUUCAGGCCAUUGACAUAGUACACGUUUUUAGUUGAGUGAGUGAGUGACUUCCCAAUCCUUCCUACUCCUAGAGUGUACAUUUUUNNNNNNNNNNNNNNNNNNNNNNNNNNNNNNNNNNNNNNNNNNNNNNNNNNNNNNNNNNNNNNNNNNNNNNNNNNNNNNNNNNNNNNNNNNNNNNNNNNNNNNNNNNNNAUGCUUUGAGCAGCCACUAUCCAUGUACCAUUGUAGGCUGCUCCCUUUCACUGUUCCCUGCACAAGAAAAUCAGAAGUUAGACUUAGGAACCAAACGAGUUUGGGUCCCUUGUAAUGAUAGAACAGGUGGAUCAGACUUCUUUUUGCCCAUGCAGGCAGCAUAUAUUUUUUUUCUAGGAACCAGGUUCCUUAUCAAUAUGCCUCUUUUCAACAAAAACUUUAUUGUUCUACAACGACUGAAUUUUAACUUUACAGGAGUCCUUACAAUGAGAAAAGGAGUGAAUGAUGUCUCUUUUGGUCCAAGCAGGCAUUAUACAUUUUUUAUAUGAAGGACCAGGUUCCGUAGCAGCAAUUACUUUUUCAGAAAAAACCUUAUUUUUUACAACGACUAAAUUCUGAACUUACAAUUUUCUUUAAAGUGCCCAGCGUUGCCACAGUGAGUGCAAAGCCAAUUGUCAGGUAUAGUAACGUACUUGCUAUAAUGGUUGUAUGGAGUCUUUUCCCUUUGGAACCCGAUUCCGUGCUUGUUUCCCCCCUAUUGUUUGUGUACAAGGCAGUGAUAACAUCAGAGGACUAGGUCCACUUAAGUGAUUUUUCAAGAUCACUUUUCACUCUUCCUAGUUCUUCUUGAAGUUGUUUGUUUCUCUCAAGCUCACCACACAGACUAGACUUCACUGAAUUUAACUCACUUUCAAGCUUAAUGUGUGCCUCACUUGUAACUUCCUUUUCCUUUUGAGAAUUCUCAGGCCUACUUUUCAUUUUAAGUUCCCCAAUUGUUUCCUUUAACUUUACAACUAGAACCAAUAGGUCAUCUCUCUCGUGCUCAAUGUUAGCAUUACUAUCAGUUAAAACCUCUUUUUCUUUCUUCAUACUCUCAAUGGUUUCCUCUAAGUCUACAAUGGAAACUCUUAUAUAAUCCCUCUCUUAUUCAAUGCCACCAAUUUCUUCUAUUAAAGAAUUCUUCUCAUUAAUGAGGCUAUGAUAGACAUCAAUCAACACAUUUGCUAAAGACAUCAAUUUUUUCUUAGAGUAAGUUUUCAAAUUUCUUUGAACAUCAAGAAAACUUACCUCGUCUUCCUCCUUGUCCUCAUCAUCAUUAGAUUUGGCCAUGAGUGCAAAAAUUGACUCAUAUUCUGAAGAUCCGUUGUCAUCAACCAUCAUAUUUUCACCUUCAGAUUCACUAGAGGAAUUUCCCCAAUCAAACAGUGCUUGCUUCAACAUGUUGUUAGUAACAUCUCUUCUAUUGAACUUUCUGUCAAGGAUCUGAUUCCUUUUAGUGGCCUUUUUAGUGCUAGUUUUGUAAUGAUCCUACUUAUGAAGAGGACAGUCUUUAAUGAAGUGUCUAGACUUUCCAUACCUAUGGCAGCAAUCAUUUUCCUUGAAAUUUCUGCUGGAACUUCUUUUCUUUGGAAUCCCACCAUUUUUUCGAAUCAUCUUUUGGAAUCUUCGAGUGAGAUACUCCAUGUCGGAUUCAUCACUACUUGAGUGUUUGUUGGCAGCCUUUAGAACCAGGUUCUUCUCCUUCUUGGGCUCUCUUCUUUUAAGAUCAUUAUUUCUAUUCAUCUCAUAAGUUUUAAGAUUCCCAAUGAGUUCAUCAAUAGUCAGCUUCUGCAAAUCCUUGGCUUCAGUGAUAGCAUUUACUUUACUUUCCCAAGAACCUGGUAAAACACUGAGUAUUUUCUGGACCAGCUUGUUUCUUAGGAUGACUUCACCAAAGGAGUGUCCUCCUUUAUCUUAAAAAGCUCAUACUCAAUAGUAAGCAUAUCAAUUUUGGACUGCUUAACCUGAGUAGUUCCCUCAUGGGUAGUUUGAAGAGCUUCCAAAAUCUCCUUAGCAGACUGACAAGCUGAAAUGCGAUGGUACUCAUCUGGCCCGAUGCCACAAACAAGAAUCUUCUUUUCCCUAAAAUUCUUCUCAAUAGCCUUUCUAUCAGCAUCAUUGUACUCUUUUCUUGUUUUUGGGACUGUAACUGUUCCCUCACCAACAGUUUUCAUGGGAACAAAAGGUCCAUCACAUAUUACAUCCCACAGCUCUGAGUCCUCAACCAUAAUGAAAUCAUGCAUUCUUGUUUCCCACCAACCAUAGUAUUGACCGUUGAAAUUUGGUGGUCUGUACGUUGAUUGUCCUUCCUCAUGAUUUGGUGGAGCAGCCAUGUAGAUCCUUUCUAGGUGUUAACCUUUUAGAAAGAACCUGCUCUAAUACUAAUUGUUAAAAACUUAACGUCCACCAGACUGUAUAGAGAACCAGGUUCUCUAAGAGUUUCCUCUGAAAAUACUAAUGAACCAAACUGUAUAGCAAUCUGGUCCUAUAUCAGUUUGGUACAGUGCUAACUACUGAACAAGUAUGUAAAAUGAUACACAUGAUAAGUUCCCACUGUAUAGAGAACCAGAUUCUCUAUAAGUUCCCACUGUAAGCAACAGACUGUAAAACCAGCCAGCAUAGGGAAUCAGGUUCUCUAAUUGUUCCCACAAUAGCUCGGCAGAAAGUAAAAAACACAGAGGAUUUUUACGUGGAAAAAUCCCAACUCAAGGGGACAAAAUCACGACCUACACUUGUAGGCUUUCAACUUCACUAACUUGUACACCCCUAUUACAAGCCACUUUGUAAUGACUCUAUUACAAAGAAUUCAACUAACUUGUGGUACUCUUACCACAAGUCACUUUGUGACUCCCUAGUUUCAAAGACUUUAACUAACUUGUGAUGCUCUCACCACAAGCCACUUUGUCACUCUCUAGUGACAAAGACUUUAAUCACUCUAACUUGUAAUAACACUUAUUACAAGCCACUUUGUAACUCUCUAGUUACAAAGACUUUACAACUCGACUAACUUUAGCCAAGACACAAACUUAGAGGGUUUGUGAUUUUGGGUUUCCUAAAAACAGCUUGUAAGAAAGCAAUAUAGGAGUUACAAUGAAGAACAAAUAACAAAUAAUAAAGACUCAACAAACCUAGGGACUUAAAAUAUCUUCGAUCUUGGAUCAGGUCCUUGAGGUUGAAGCAGCUUUGUUCUUGAGAGAGGUUGUUGCAAGCACUUGAGAGA